rnacentral:tRNA from 1 species
UGUGAGGUGGUCGAUUUAAGUCGGUAGAUUGUAAAUCUAUGUAUAAGUUAGUAGCUUUCUCAUAA